rnacentral:rRNA from 1 species
UACGUAGGGUGCGAGCGUUAAUCGGAAUUACUGGGCGUAAAGCGUGCGCAGGCGGUUUUGUAAGCCAGAUGUGAAAGCCCCGGGCUCAACCUGGGAAUGGCAUUUGGGACUGCAAGGCUUGAGUGCGGCAGAGGAGACUGGAAUUCCUGGUGUAGCAGUGAAAUGCGUAGAUAUCAGGAGGAAUACCGAUGGCGAAGGCAGGUCUCUGGGCUGACACUGACGCUGAUGCGCGAAAGCUAGGGGAGCGAACGGG